GAUGAACGCUGGCGGCGUGCCUAAUACAUGCAAGUCGAGCGAACGGACGAGAAGCUUGCUUCUCUGAUGCUAGCGGCGGACGGGUGAGUAACACGUGGAUAACCUACCUAUAAGACUGGGAUAACUUCGGGAAGCCGGAGCUAAUACCGGAUGAUAUUUUGAACCGCAUGGUUCAAAAGUGAAAGACGGUCUUGCUGUCACUUAUAGAUGGAUCCGCGCUGCAUUAGCUAGUUGGUAAGGUAACGGCUUACCAAGGCAACGAUGCAUAGCCGACCUGAGAGGGUGAUCGGCCACACUGGAACUGAGACACGGUCCAGACUCCUACGGGAGGCAGCAGUAGGGAAUCUUCCGCAAUGGGCGAAAGCCUGACGGAGCAACGCCGCGUGAGUGAUGAAGGUCUUCGGAUCGUAAAACUCCGUUAUUAGGGAAGAACAUAUGUGUAAGUAACUGUGCACAUCUUGACGGUACCUAAUCAGAAAGCCACGGCUAACUACGUG
rnacentral:rRNA from 1 species